AAGUGAUAUGAUGGUAUACCAUCUUUCGGGACUGACCUGAAAUGGAGAGAACUCUUAAUACUGAUCACUU
rnacentral:snoRNA from 1 species